AUUGAACGCUGGCGGCAGGCCUAAAACAUGCAAGUCGAACGAGUGGCGGACGGGUGAGUAAUGUCUGGGAAACUGCCUGACGGAGGGGGAUAACUACUGGAACCGGUAGCUAAUACCGCAUACCAUCAGAUGUGCCCAGAUGGGAUUAGCUAGUUGGUGGGGUAACGGCUCACCAAGGCGACGAUCCCUAGCUGGUCUGAGAGGAUGACCAGCCACACUGGAACUGAGACACGGCCCAGACGCCUACGGGAGGCAGCAGUGGGGAACAUUGCACAAUGGGCGCAAGCCUGAUGCAGCCAUGCCGUGUGUAUGAAGAAGGCCUUCGGGGUGUAAAGUACUUUCAGCGGGGAGGCGUUACCCACAGAAGAAGCGCCGGCUAACUCCGUGCCAGCCGCCGCGGUAAUAC
rnacentral:rRNA from 1 species